rnacentral:rRNA from 1 species
AAACUAACAAGGAUUCCCCUAGUAGCGGCGAGCGAAGCGGGAAGAGCUCAAAUUUGUAAUCUGGCACCUUCGGUGUCCGAGUUGUAAUCUCUAGAAGUGUUUUCCGCGUUGGACCGCACACAAGUCUGUUGGAAUACAGCGGCAUAGUGGUGAUACCCCAUUACACGGUGCGGACGCCCAGCGCUUUGUGAUACACUUUCGACGAGUCGAGUUGUUUGGGAAUGCAGCUCAAAUUGGGUGGUAAAUUCCAUCUAAAGCUAAAUAUUGGCGAGAGACCGAUAGCGAACAAGUACCGUGAGGGAAAGAUGAAAAGCACUUUGGAAAGAGAGUUAAAAGUACGUGAAAUUGUUGGAAGGGAAACGCUUGAAGUCAGACUUGCUUGCCGGGCUUGCUCGGUUUGCAGGCCAGCAUCAGUUUUCCGGGGCGGAUAAUGGCAGUUAGAAUGUAGCAGUCUCUGGCUGUGUUAUAGCUUUCUGCUGGAUACGCCCUGGGGGACUGAGGAACGCAGCGUGCCGUAUGGCGAGGGCUUUGGUCCUUUCACGCUUAGGAUGCUGGUGGA